GCAUAUGGUUCGCUAUGCUACGGAAUGGACAAUUUUCACGAAAUCCAUUUUCACCGGGUUGCAGUGACAGCUGAAUCACAAAACGCAUGGAGAACUGUUUGACAUGUUAUAUGCUAUUGUGCUGUGAAUAAGCCGGCAUCGUAAAUCUGGCUGUUUUACAACAAUUUUACGCAUUUAAUUACUAGUUUUCCGAACUAUUUGCAAUUAAAGCUAUAACACGACGUAUCAACUUAGCGAAAGUGUUGGGUAUGAUUCUGUUUCAAAGCUUUAUUGUUCUGCUCCAUCCAUAACGAAAACACGCGGUUUUGCAGUUGGUGACGAAACAGUAAGCUCGACUGGCCGUGCACUGUGCCUGCUCCGAUGACAAUGCAAACAAUAUGGAGUGGAUGUGGAGCUCGAAAGUUCCUCAAUCUACGUCUGUUCGAUGAGCCAGCUACCGAGAAAUGGUGGACAGAAUCGGUUGCAGCGCCUGGAAAUACUGUGCAUUAGUCACUUUACGCUGUACCACCAGUUGAAAGGUUACACAUGUCGAAUUUUAGCCGAGCCAUGCGAGAAUCGGAGGCACAGCAGCUGUACAGGUCGUUUCUGGAGCAGUUACCUGAACAGUGCAUCUAAGAACGCAUACAGGACGGUCGGUUUGGGACAAUAAUGCCGGUAUACAUUCAAAACGGCGUUCCGUUACGCAGGAAAUCGAAUCGUCCGCAGAGUGAACAAAAGCGCCAAAAGCUAAAGCGAAAUUGGUGUGUAAAAUCGACGCCAAACCAAUGGGCAGCGUUGAAAGAACCAUGAAGAAUCUCCCCAGUGCAGAAUGAAAAUCAAACUAUCUUGUUUUGGACGAAGAUACUGGCCACAUUUGUAGAAUUUUGUCGUAGGAAACGACCGGUUUUAGCAUUUUAAGUCAACCAGAGAGAUAGUUCAUCCAUACUAUACGAUCCGCCAUCAUCUGUCACUUUACAUUCCGGUGAAAAUGCUACACAAAUUAAUGGAAUAAAUUUGAAAUAUUUCCCUGAAA